GCUCUGUUCGUUUCGGUCCCGGGGGAUUCGGGGUCCCCUUUGGGAUGGGUUUUGGGAUCCGUGAGUCCCCUUUGGAGUCAGUUUUUGGGGUCCCUUGGUCUCCCAUGAUAGGCUUUGGGGAUUAUGGGGUUCCCUUUGGGGUGAGUUUUAGGGUUUCUGGGUCUCAUUUUUGUAGGUUGUGGGGCUCAUUGGUCUUCCAUCAUAGGCUUUGGGGACCCUGGGGUGGGUUUUGGGGUCCUGGGGUCUCCCUCCUGGUAGUUUUUUGGGGUCUCAUGUAUUCUGGGGUCUCCUUUGGGCUGAGUUUUGGGGUCCCUGGGUCCUAUUUUGGUGGGUUUUGGGGUCCUGGGGUCACUUUGCCAUUAGUUUUGAGGCUCUGAGGGGCUCCAAGACCCCCAUUCCCUGUGGGUUUGGGGGCUGUGGGAUCGUGCUUCGGUUUUAGGGUCUCUGAGAUCCCUGUCCUCAUUGGUUUGGAUGCUCUGGGAUCUCUUUUCUUAUGGGAUUUGGAGCUUUAGGAGUUCAGAAGCUUUGGGGUCCCCUUUCCUAUGGGAUUAUAGACAGUGGGAUUUUUUUCCCUUUGGGAUUGCAGGCUCCAGGAUCCCUUUUCCUAUGGGAUUUGGUGCCGUAUGGGCUUAGAGGCUUUGGGAUCCCAUUUCGUAUGGGAUUAUAGCCUACAGGACCCUGUUCUCUGUAGGAUUAUGGCCUCUGGGAUCCCUUUUCUUACGGGGUUUGGAGCUUCGUGGGUCUGGGGGCUUUGGAGUCGCUGUGGGAUUGUAGAACGCAGGACCCUGUUCUCUGUAGGAUGACGGGCUCUGGGGUCCCUUUCCUUACGGGGUUUGGAGCUCUACGGCUUUUUGGGUCCCCGGGGUUCUUUUCCUGGUGGGAUUUACACCCUACACGGCCCUCUGCCCCCCUUCCUACCCCAGCUGGAAUCCUCGCGCCGCCUCUCGGAGAUCCGCGUCCUCCACGAGCGCAGCCGCUCUGCAGCCGAGGAAGCACGGCGCAAGGAGGAGCUCUACAAGCAGCUGUUGGUGGAGCUGGAGGCACUGCCCCGCGACAUCUCCCGCGCCGUCUACACGCAGCGGAUCCUGGAGAUCGUCAGCAACAUCCGCAAGCAGAAGGAGGAGAUUGGGAAGAUUUUGGUGGACACGCGGGCCCUGCAGAAGGAGAUCAACGCGCUGGUGGGGAAACUGGAGCGGACGUUCAGCGUCACCGACGAGCUGCUCUUCAAGGAUGCCAAGCGGGAUGAGGUGGUGAGGAAGGCCUACAAGUACCUGGCAGCUCUGCAUGAG